UCUAACGAGAGUUUGAUCCUGGCUCAGAAUCAACGCUGGCGGCGUGCCUCAGACAUGCAAGUCGAACGCGAAAGUCUCCUUCGGGGGACAAGUAGAGUGGCGCACGGGU
rnacentral:rRNA from 1 species